GCUGGGUGUGGAGCGGUCAGUGUGCUGUGGACUCAGUGUGGUAUACAGGGCUAGUGUAGUGCUGGGUGUGGAGCGGUCAGUGUGCUGUGAACUCAGUGUUGUUUUACUAGUGAGGAUGUUGCUGACUUUCUAUCUUCUCUUCAUUGGGCUUCAUGUCUCUGAAGGAUGUAAUCUGGUGAACAGAGAACAACUGCUGGAUAUCACAGCUCAUAGAGGAGGGUCAGUACUGCUGCCCUGCUACUGCCCAGACCUACAGACCACACCUGAGGAAUUCAGAUGGAACAAAGACAACACAAAAACAGGCAGACGGGAAAACAUAUCCAGUGAGAGUGGUCAGUACAGAGACAGAGUUCAGCUGUUUAAUGGUCACUCUCCAGGAAAUCUCUCUCUACUCAUAUCACUCCUGACUGAAGAGGAUGGAGGAGUUUACUUCUGUGCCGUUAAAGAUGCUCAUUUAAUGAUCAGACUGACUUUAAAAGAGGGUCCACCUACAACUACACCAACUAGGGCAGUGGUCAGUGUGCAGACCAGACCAGCCACUUCAACCACACAUUCCUCUCAAAACCCUGAUGAGCAUUCAGAGUAUUUGUGUGUGGUGAGACAAGGAGACACCAGGCAUUGAGCGCGACUAGUGCUGCCAUUUCAACAGAAUACUGUUCCAGAGUAGAACUUGGGACCCCUUUAGCAUAUAGGGGCUGUUCCCACUAGUGAUCACAGUAGGCCACGUAUGGGAUGUGCUGGAAAUCCAAUCCACUACAGCUCCACCUUUCAACCUAAAGGAUUUAAAGGAUGUGCUGCAAACAUCUCAGUGCCAGAUACCACACAGCAUCUUCAUAGGCUUUGUGGAGUCCAUAUAUCUGCAGGUUAUUCCAUCCACUUCUCCAUCUUCAUUCCUGUUCUACUUCUUCUGUUGGGACUCGGGGGACUCAUCUAUUGGAGAUGCAGAGGACAGAGACGAGGACAGACUGAGAGCCGAGAGGAAAGAAGUACAAAGAUAGAGCAGAAAACACAGGCUGUAAUUUGGUGAACAGAGAACAAGUACUGGAUAUCACAGCUCACACAGGAGGGUCAGUACUGCUGCCCUGCUACUGCACUGACCUACAGACCACACCUGAGGGAUUCAGAUGGAACAAAGACAACACAAAAACAGACAGACGGGAAGAGAUAUCCAGUGGGAGUGGUCAGUACAGAGACAGAGUUCAGCUGUUUAAUGGUCACUCUCCAGGAAAUCUCUCUCUACUCAUAUCACACCUGACUGAAGAGGACGGAGGCAUUUACUGGUGUGAUGUUAGGGAUUCUUUCAUAAUCAUCAGACUCACUUUAAAAGAAUGUCCAAAGUCUCUACCCUACAUUCCCUUCGCUGUUAUCACUGUGAUCGUUCUCCACAUUAUUGUAGCUGUGGUCUACCUGAUAACCACGACCAAAGAUCCUGCCAGGGGUCACUACAGCACUGCUGAUGGAGAUGGAGUGGUCAGUCUGGAGUAGGGCAGUUCUGCAACACUGGCAUGAGUUCCCAACCUGGCAGCUAAAACAUCUUAAAAUAACAAGUGCAAAUGUUUACAUUUUCUCAUUUUACUUCCUCUCUGUUUUGAAACUGUUAUCUGUUUAAGUUGUACUG